GGCAAACGGUUGUUGGGGAGCAGGCCCGCCGGCGGCCCACUAAACUCUUUGUUUUUAUAACCUAUCUCUUCUGAGUACAUAAACAAAAAAAAAUGAAUCAAAACUUUCAACAACCGAUCUCUUGGUUCUGGCAUCGAUGAAGGACGCAGCGAAUUGCGAUAAGUAAUGUGAAUUUGCAGAAUUCAGUGAAUCAUCGAAUCUUUGAACGCACUUUGCGCCGCUGGAAUUCCAGCGGGCAUGCCUGUUCGAGCGUCAUUUCA
rnacentral:rRNA from 1 species